UGGGGAAUAUUGGACAAUGGGCGAAAGCCUGAUCCAGCCAUGCCGCGUGUGUGAAGAAGGUCUUCGGAUUGUAAAGCACUUUAAGUGGGGAGGAAGGGCAGUAAGCGAAUACCUUGCUGUUUUGACGUUACCGACAGAAUAAGCACCGGCUAACUCUGUGCCAGCAGCCGCGGUAAUACAGAGGGUGCAAGCGUUAAUCGGAAUUACUGGGCGUAAAGCGCGCGUAGGUGGUUCGUUAAGUUGAAUGUGAAAGCCCCGGGCUCAACCUGGGAACUGCAUCCAAAACUGGCGAGCUAGAGUAGGGCAGAGGGUGGUGGAAUUUCCUGUGUAGCGGUGAAAUGCGUAGAUAUAGGAAGGAACACCAGUGGCGAAGGCGACCACCUGGGCUCAUACUGACGCUGAGGUGCGAAAGCGUGGGGAGCAAACAGG
rnacentral:rRNA from 1 species